rnacentral:rRNA from 1 species
UACGUAGGGUGCGAGCGUUGUCCGGAAUUAUUGGGCGUAAAGAGCUCGUAGGCGGUCUGUUGCGUCGGCUGUGAAAACCCGGGGCUCAACCCCGGGCCUGCAGCCGAUACGGGCAGACUAGAGUUCGGCAGGGGAGACUGGAAUUCCUGGUGUAGCGGUGAAAUGCGCAGAUAUCAGGAGGAACACCGGUGGCGAAGGCGGGUCUCUGGGCCGAUACUGACGCUGAGGAGCGAAAGCGUGGGGAGCAAACAGG